CGCCCGUGCCCGGCUCGGCCGGCCCCGCUCUGGUGCCGGUCCCUCGCCCCCCGCUUCCCGCUCUGCUGCCCGCCCCUGCCGGCGUCCCUCAGCGGGGCACAGGGAGCUCCGCGCCUGGUGGCUCCUCCGUGGGGGGCGAGGGGCGUGCAGCCGGUCCCUGCCUACGGUGAAACGAGAGGUCCCUAGGGAUGGUGGGCAGCCCUUCCCGGCUUCUUCCCUCCCGAGCACCUCCACGGGCGCAGUUAGCUAUGAACCCGGGGAGAAUCUCACGUUCGUCAAGUGUGGGCAAUUGACUUCUGUGUCCUACAGGGGGAAGGCCCUUCCCCAAGGAACGGCCGUGCCUUUGCCUCCCAAGCCUCCGUGCGGGCGGCUUCCAGAACGUUCCAGCUAUUCCCCCUGCUGAGCCCGGGGAAAGGCAGCUCGAGGCCAACCGAGCUCCUCGUGCCGGUUUCUGGAGGCUGGAGGAGAAACCCACAGCAGAGUGUGGGCUCAGAAGGAGCGGAAUCAUUAUCGAAACCCCAAAUAGCACGGCUCUAACUCCUACUUGCGUCUCGUGUUUAGGAUUGCAGUGAUGUGGAGAGCCGGAGGUGCCCCCGUGGCGCGGGGAUGGAGUCAGGAGAUGCCCAGGAGGACGAUAUCACAUCUGCUGCUCCCAACAAGCCCGGGCCACCUGGCAUGGGAGGGUGCGGGCACAGCAGUAUGUGAGUCACCUCGGACACACAGGUAAUGUUCCGUCUAAAUCAGAUAAUUCCCUGCUGCUGCGUUCACCGGCAGCUUGGGAUGCACAGGGGUGGAGAAAAAGCUAUUCCUCCACAAUCAAGAAUGCCAUCAACGUGUGCUUAACUGAGAGCUGUGUAGAUGACCACUGGUGAGUUUUGGUUUUCUUUAUCAAUGAUGUGAUUUCAUCAACCGUGAGGGAAAAUUUGGCCAUUAUCUUCGGUGAGAACAUUUUUACGUUAUGCUAUUGACCCGCCCGUAUCAUAAUUGCAGAAGUCUUUGUUAGUUAUGAAACUCUCCUCCAUCUCAUCUAAACAUAAUGUAUGCAGUUUCAGAGGUUUCUUAAACUGCAGACUCCUACUCAGCUGUUUUUCUGACUGGCAAUCACAGCUCUAUUCUGCCUUUAUAUCUGCACCUACCUUGUUUUUUUGUGUGUCGUUUCUUCAUGCCGUUUGCAAUAGUUUAUAUUCUUGUGUCCUUUCUUUCCCUUAAAGAACUUCUGUUCAGGUCACUGUGGGCCUGACUGUAUACAAGACAGAACAGAUCCUCGUCUUCACAGGCACUCAGCUUACUGGAAAAGAUCAGGAUGCUCAACCAGUGUGAAAAGGGAUAAUAACAAGGCAGAUGUACAUAAAGCAACAAGUGGGAAGAAAAUAUUUGUUUGGGAAUUUAAGCAGAUGCAGCUACAACCAGUUCCUUUCAUCUAUUGAUGCGUGAACGUUACGUUUCAUUUUCAAGUGCUGUUUAGUCAGUGAGGCAUUGGAAACAAUGCAGUUAGACGUAAUAAACCGUUUUCUUUUGCUAUUUCCUGACUUGGAAGCAUCCUUGUAGAUUUUCAGGAUGUUCCCCCCCAGUUCUUCAGGCUCAUCUUGCUAUCACGUGAGUAAUUUCAGAAGGCACGUUUCCUAGCUAACACUCAUCUCCUUGCAGUUGUACACCGCACAACAUUUAUAAUUAAGCCUCUUAGGAAGUGUUCACUGCACGGCCCAUGAUUAACUUCCCUUCAUUCUUCAUUGUUGAAGCUCAGCACGGAGAUCUCUGGAGUAAUCACCCCACCUUUCCAGCCUGAAAUGCCAAACUGCAUCAUAGUUUACAAGUCAGUGUGCACUACAAUAUUGUCCCAGCAUGGAAGGACAUGUUGAUGCCUUUAUCACAGUCUAACAGGCAAUACAGGCUGAUCCAAGGAAAGUAUUCUCUCAGCAGAUGAGCUAGAUAAAGCAGUUGAUCAGAGGCUGUUGACACACAGCACAGCAUCUAUAAUUAAGCCACUAGGGAAGCAGGGAUGGGACGCUGUAACAGAGGUAGGAUCCAGUUUGC
rnacentral:lncRNA from 1 species